AAAUAAAUAAAGUGGCUAUGCUAAUUUGAAUCUUAAUAAUAAAACUCUAGCAUGGAUAUGAUGAAUAGUUGCUCUACCUAAUUUGCAAAUUUGAAGUUCUCUCUCAAGUUUAGACAUAACUGUUAUAAUUUAAAGCUUGCUCUAGAUCUAAACUUGUGGGAUGAAACCUUGAUCUGAAAUCUAAGUUGUUAACGGAUAUGAUAUGGGAAGGUUGAGCUGUUGUUUAUCUGUUCCUAGAGAUGCUAGAAUUUUGGAGAAUUUUAUCUUUGAAAAAAAUAUUUAAAAUAUUGCAUGAUGAGUUCCUGUAUGAUGAGAGUUUAAAUUCCUACCAUAGCCAUAUAUACAUGCUUGCUAGACUUUGAGCCACACAUUUAUUAUUUACUGCUUAUGAGCAUUGAGUGUGGUCAAGCUGUGUAGACCCUUAGGAGCUUGUCAUGUGGUUAAAAUCAAGAUUCACUUGCACGUUCAUUCAUACAUGCUGCUUCUACUCCGGAAGUACCAUCCACAUAUAUCCACUUAUUUCCAUCUCCAGAACCACCCAAAAAUAUUCUACUCCUAAUCCGGGAGAGAAUAGCCAGAAAUAUUUUUGUUUUCCCUUGUGAAAUAAAUGCUCAAGUUAUCUUGCUACUACCACUUUCUAUAUUAUCUCAAGAGAUGAGUGCUCUAAAAAAAGAGAGAGAAAAGAAGAAAAAAAAUAAUAAACGAGGAAAUAAAAAGGGGCAAGUGCCCGGAACCUCGAAAGAAAAAAAAAGAGUGAGACGAGAGGUAAAAAUGGACAAGUGUCUGACAGUAGAAUUAGGGGUACAAGAUACCCACCUGAGAGGAAAGAAAAAUGAAAUAUAGAGCAUCUCAUUCUCCUCGUAAAGUUUCAAAAAGCAAGGAAGGUAUGUAUCCCCUCAAAAGAGCAAAAGUAGAAUUAGACUUCCACCAUUGUUAUCACCAUCAUCACCAUACACCAUUCAUUCGCCACACAUGCACAUCUUGAUUUGACUUAUUGACUUGUUUCUCUGGAUCCAUGGUUUGACUAUGCAAUAAAUGUCUUGUAAGUAUGUAUUAGCUGUCUCCCAUCUAUGAGCUCUAGAUAUUAAAGCCUUAUUAGAGUAGGGUGAGAGAGAAGGCAAUGUCACUGUGCCUUAUACCACAAAUACCACAUAUCUUGAGAGAAGGCAUAUACCAUCACUGCCUUGGUAAGGAUCCAGAAAUACCACAAAAGAGAGAUUUAGAGAGUCAUACAAGGAAUUUCUGAGUUUUAUUUGAAAAUCUACAAAAACUCCAGAGCUAUAGCUGAUCAAGAAUAAGAGACAUGGCACUUGGCUAGACUGUUCUAUCUUUUAACUACUCAAGACAGAAGUGACGGUUACAAGUCCCAUGGUGAAAGGUAAAGUAAGUAAGUUUUAGUUCUUGAUAGUUUACUCUAACUCAGAGAUGAGAUCUUAUUUAAAAGCAUGUGUACCGUCAAAAUUUUAAGAUAUUGCAACAACUUCUGAUCCAUUGUUGAGUCUAUCCUUGCUCAGGGACGAGCAAGAGGUAAGCUUGGGGGAGUUUGUUGACGGUCCUUAAGUAUCAAAUUUAAUUAUCAAAUAAACAAAGAAAAGGAUCCGUUUUAUCUGACAGAAUUCCACGAGUUUUGGUGUUUGUCUAUUUCUGCAGGGGGUUAUCAGGAAAUAUGGAAGAAAGGCCCACACGUCGGGAUUACAUAGAGAUAUCAACGUGCCGCGCAAUUAUUUUACAUCUAGAAGACUCCAGAAGCCACGGGAAGGAAGCGGAGGCCGAACGGAGCCAGGACCUGGGCGCCUGCCAAAGUCCUUAGGGCGCCCGCCCUGCUACAGUGGCCAAUCACGUUCAACCUCGUGGAUUAUGCUCCACCGACCUAAAGGAUCAAGACUAACCGUUCAAUCAAUGUGAGUUUGAUCCAACGGCCCAGGUUCACUUGAGGGGACUAUAUAACCAGACCCCCUGGCCCCUGAAGGAGGCACCCCUUGAUCAUUACUCAUUAUUCAUAGACAGAGCAAAAGCUAGGGUUUAGAGAUGAGAGCUCUCCUCUCUUCUCUAAACUAGAGUAGAUCUAGAUAGUAGCAAGAUGGAGAGCGAAGGAGGAUUAGAGGAGAGGCCGGCCUGUCGGUUCUUCCUCCGGUUGUACUUUGUCAUGAUCAAGCUCUAAUCAAGCUUGCUCAUGGGAUGACUCUGGUAAUCUACUUCUAAUUCAUUAUGCAAUUACUAAUUAUGUAUGUUCUGGUUCACAACUCUUUUGAGUACUUUAAUCUAUAGGACGCUAUAGGUGAGAGUUGUAGUAUAGGUAUAAGCGUGGUGCUUAGACCUAGAUUACUUGUGGAUAUACCCUGUCUAGCUGGAUCGUGUGGGAGGCCGCGUAGGUGACAGUUACUAGUCCACCUCUCGUUAGCAGGAUGGGUAGAGUUUAUCGGCCUAAGGAUAAGCAUCCUUUGUGGUGUACUCUUAUCACGUGGUUCGUCCCAGACAUAGACAUACCCCUUUGAAGUAGAGAAACCAUAGUUAUACUCUCUAUUCUGCUACCAUCGCCUAUAUAUUAGAUUGCUCUAUUCUCUAUUCCCAUAUUAUCACUCACUGUUAUCUUACCUUUAAUAUUGUUCUUAUUUAAUUCUAUCAUCUUUCCUAUUUACACUUAUCUAUCUAUCCUGGUUAAGUUAGAGCGUAGUUGGUUCUCCCGUUUCCCUGUGGAUACGAUAAAACCUUUAACCGGGUAAAAGCUUCAACGGUAUCCGUGCUCUUGCAGAUUAUCUGUGUGCGUAUAAAUACCAUAGUACACUCUAGUGCCAUGCUGGGGAUGACAACCUAGUAUUCAAGUGGUGUUAGCAAGUGUCAACAAGCAUUUUUGGCGCCGUUGCCGGGGAAACGGUUGCUGAGUUGACUACGAACUAGCUUAAUCAUUUUCUAAAAAAUAAAAAUAAAAAAAAUAUAUUUUCCUUUUAUCCUUUGCCUCAUCUCUGCUAAUCUUUCUUCUUAUCUAAUCCUUGAUCUCUGGUCUAUCAUGAAUUCAAACAUGUCUAUCUAUGAAUUUCAUAGACCUACGGGCACACAUCUCGAACCACCAAAAUCUUCAAAGCCUAUCAUAGCAUCUAGUUUUGAGAUAGACCCCGAAUACAUAGAAUUUGUUCAAAAACAACCUUUCUCAGGAGAAGGUGAGGAAAACCCAUACACACACCUAAGAGAGUUUUAUCGAGUAUGUGACCUCCUUCGCAUAGAAGGCAUGUCCGAUGAGACCCUCAAAUGGAAGCUCUUUCCGUUCUCUUUAAUAGAAAAAGCUAGACAUUGGUACAAACUCAAAGUAGGGAGUGUUCAUGGAGAUUGGAAGGAGUUACAUAAUAGUUUUCUUUUAAAAUAUUUUCCAAUCCCUAAAGUGGCGGAACUUCGGCGUGAGAUUCUUUCUUUUAGACAACUGGAAGAAGAAUCUCUUGGCAAAUCAUGGGACCGCUUUAUUAACCUUACUCUCACUGGCCCAAAGCUUUUUAUUCCAGAAGAAGUUCUUCUAAUUCACUUUUUUGAGGGCCUUAGUGGGGAAAAUAAGCAAACCUUGAAUACAGCCUCUAGAGGAUCCUUCUAUCACCUACGUGCUAGUGAAGCUUGGAAUUUGAUUGAUUUAUUAAGUGGAAAGUCUCCUAGCUUUUAUAUCCCUGAGAAAGAGACAGAACCAGUUCCUAGACAAGAAGAAGAAGUUUUGAUAGCCAGAUCACAACCACUUCAAUUCCAAACUUUAGCUAUCAAUCCUAAACCAUCAAUACCCCAAAAUUCUCCAAGGGAGGAAGGAAUUCCGACCUUAAAUCUUUCAGAUGCUGAUGGUUUAGACUUUUGGUUCCAUAAGAGACCUUCAAGCAGGGAUAAUUCAAAUCCUCGCAAUAAUGGUUCUCUUAGAGAAUGUCCUAGUUCCUGUUAUGAAGAAGUCGAGGAUGACACAUCAAGUAAAGGAGAGCUAAGCCAUAUUGAAAAUUCUAACACCUCCCCUUUCCUGAUCACAAGUUCAAAAUGGCUAGAAUGUGUAGAAUGGAUGGACAAGGAAGAAGCCUUAAUGAAUUCUGACUUUGGUUCAAUUUCAAAUGGUGAGUUCUUGACUCCCUUUGAAGAUGGGAUUCAUCCAACUAUAGAAGAGGACAUAAGUGAGACCAAUCCAAGAGGAACUCUGAACAUUCAGAUUGGAGACGAAGAUAACAUUAAUGAGCAUGGAAUUUAUUUCAUAGCCACUUUGUUUACUCCAUACUCAUAUGCGACAUCUUCCCAAUCUAUUGGUCUCUCCAACAUCACCACAUUUGAGAUUUCCAACCCCCUCUUCCUUUCUAGUUAUAAAAACUUUAAAAGGGCGGUUGUCGAUGCAUAUGUCUAUAAUAAAUAUUGCAGAUCUCAUUGAGUUGAUCUUGAUAUAGGUCAGCGUUGGAAGGGAAACCACUUCGUCGACAUAAAUUGAUGGUUUCCCAAGGACAAGCUUAGUGUCUUAAAAUAAGCACUGAUCAGAUCAUAACAUGAGCUUUUAAUUAUUUACAACAUUACCUGGUGUAUUGAGCAUAUAAGGAUAAUUGUAAAAAUAUUCCUUCGGGUAUUCUUGUCACUAACCUUUCUAGGAUUGGAACAAGAAGAUCAGAUGAAUGACAAGCAAGUACAAGGUAUGUCCAACCAAUCAUCAUGGAACACUGAAUUAAAUUCAUCCAAACUUGAAUUCUGCAAAAUUCAAGCUUGGGGGAGUACUUUACAUAAAAACAUCCUUUGCCAUGUUGCUAUGUUGGUUGUCCCUACCUUUAAGACAUGCUCAAUUUGUUAAAUACUAAUCACACUACUUCAUCUCCACUUGAGUAGAUUUCUAUAAAUGUUGUCAUGUUACCUUUGUCUAUUUACUAGUAAGUGUUAGUUUGGAAGUACUGCACAUACUUCUAUUGGCUUUUAAAUUAAGCUUGGUGCUUAGGUUAAACAGCCUUCCUUAAUCUGAUUAGACAUGGAGUCUAGUUCGGUUAUUGAACUAAAAACUUCUUGUGUAGACAUUGGUAUAUUUUUGUCGGACUAACCCCUGCAGAAAAACUUUCAAUAUCAAUUUGGGAAGCCCUGAGAUAAACUCACAUCAGAAACGAAGAGAGUGACACAUGAAGUUUAACAAUUUGCACAAGAAGGACAUAGCUCAUUCAUCAUAGAGAGAUGAUCCAUGGAGGGUGCCACAAACACGAUGCACAACCGCUAAGAAAGGAAAGCUUCCACAAGGUGAUACUGUACCAUCACUCUUCAAGCAAGAAAACAUCUUAAGGUACUUGACUAUCACUUUUAUAAGCUUCUCCUUGGUUCUGGCGUUCAUAUAAAUAAAAGAGACAAACAUGUAUGAUUUACAACUCUAGAUUAACCAACCCAACUGAUUCAACAUGUUUAGUCCUUUAAUCCUUGUUCUUAGUACUACCUCCAUGAUCCCACACUCCUAAUCAAAUGAGCUAAAAUGUUACACAUUCAAUCAUUGUGAGAUAUAAAGAAAAAGACAUAUACAUAGAUAGAUUAUCUUUCCAUAAGGUUGAGCGAUCUGAUUUGACAAAUGUUAUAAGUGCUACACUCAUGAACUUUUCAUCCAUCAACUUUGUCUUGCUCACUAUGCUUAGGGUUAGAGAAGAACAAAUACACUUUAGGUUCUGUUGGUGUUUUCCACCAACAGGACCCAUGCACUUGAUCUCUGCCUUGUCUCUAUGAGCAGGAACACUUUGAGCAAAACACGGAGGAGUUUUAUAACUCUCAGACUCUACCAAGUGAAGGACUUGGAUCUACGAGCACAAACACACUGAGCAGGUUACUGCCAACGCCGCACUUCGAACUGCUGGGCAAACGAAGAACAUAGGUGACACCGUAUCAAGAGGUGUAGACGUCAAGGUCCGCACCUGAAUCAAAUGACGCACUUAAAGAAUGAACAUGGUGAGAAGUCUUGUUAAGAAGACUUAAAACAUUGAACCCUCGCUAGAUUACUUGUUAAGAAGUCUUGUUAUACGUGGUGCUUAGACCUAGAUUACUUGUGGAUAUCCCCUGUCUAGCUGGAUCGUGUGGUAGGCCGUGUAGGUGACAGUUACGUUGGUCCUUUGUAGUCCACCUCUCGUUAGCAGGAUGGGUAGAGUUUAUCGGCCUAAGGAUAAGCAUCCUUUGUGGUGUACUCUUAUCACGUGGUUCG
rnacentral:lncRNA from 1 species